rnacentral:pre_miRNA from 1 species
AUUAUACUCCCUCCGUUCGUAAUUACUCGUCCCAGAAAUGAAUGUAUCUGGAUAUAUUUUAGUUGUAGAUACAUCCAUUUUUAUUCAUUUUUGUGACAAGUAAUUCGAGGGAGUAUUUC